GGGGGGGGGGGGGGCUUGAGAGAUCUCUCCUUCCUUUCCCUUCCCUGGGUCUGCACUGCCAAGCAAUGCAUGAACGGAGGCCAGUCCCGUUGGGGCCAAGGGGUCUUCUGCCCAGGCUCGAAGGCUCACCCUGGCUUCCUUUCCCGGGAACAAGCGAGACGGGACCGGGCCUGGACUUGGGAUCUCUAGUUCUCCUCCGGCAGCGAAGAAGGGGCCCGAACGGAGCUCAAGGGGUCCGAGAGGAGAAGAGGGCAGGAGAGGCUGGAGCCAGAUUGGCAUAUAAUGCAGUUUGACGGGGUCGCUGUGGAUCCACAUCAGGCAGCCCAGUCCCGUUCAAACCGCAUUACAGGAGUCUCCUCGGACCAUAUCAUGCAUUUCAUUUGGCAGUGUGGAUUCAGCUUUAGGCCCCAUCUACAUUGUCCUAUAACCAAUUUCAGGAUGCAGAUUAAUCGCAUUGAGCUGUAUUAUGUCAUUUGCCGCCGGUAUAGAUUCUUAUAUUCCAGUUUGAUGUAGGUUCUCAACCUGUGGGUCCCCAGAUGUUUUGGCCUCCAACUCCCAGAAAUUCUAACAGCUGGUAAACUGGCUGGGAGUUGUAGGCCAAAACACCCGGGGACCCACAGGCUGAGAAGCACUGGUGUAGUUCACCUGCCUUCUGAACCUGCAUUCUAGGGCAGUGGGGAUGGGUCCCCUCUCCUUCACUGGGGAAACAGCGGGUCCAGGAAUCUGGGGGUCUCUGAAGAAGGCGGGGCGGGAGGAGGCCAAGCUCCAGCUGCGAGGGUGACCCUUCUCCUUUCUUUCUCCCUUCUGACUUGGCCUAUUCCUACGGCAGGAAGCGCCGCGGCUUCAGGCGGCGAAGGACCGGGGGCCCCUAAGCGGCGUCGGCAGCGGACCCAGUUCAGUCAGACCCAGGUGGAUAACAUGAAGGCCUCCUUCCAACUGGACGCCUAUCCGGACCACCCGCGGCGGGAGAAACUCGCGGAGAAGAUCGGCGUCGAGGAAGGACGCGUUGCCGUCUGGUUCCAGAACAGAAGAGCCAGGUACUUAAACAAUAAGAAAGGAAAUCAGGGGAAGAAAGCGAAGCAAACCCGGAAUGCCAGGAGGGUUGCCCCCCAGAGUCCGGCAAGAGCCCUCCCAUCUCCCAUACAAGCAGCAACCGAGAUGGCAGCACGUCAGUCCAGCUGGGCUGGACACCUGGGGACUCAUCCUCAGUUGGGACAAACCUGGCCAAGGCCGAACUAUCUCUUCCCACAAAGCUAUGCCUGUGAAAACAGCCAGUUUGGUAGAGGACAGGCCACAGCCUUCAGCCACAGUUCCCACAGGAACCCCUGUGUCCAGAAUUCUCCCUGUUGCUUUGGUGCUGGUGCUCAAGAUGCCUCCUGGAGACCGCAACAGCAGAGCCAGCCGGACUAUGCCGCUUGGGACACAGGUUUUCAUUUAGGGCCCUUCUGUGACCAAGGCCAAGGUUUUCCUGUUGAAGCCCAGCAGCUGGGAGAACAGCUUUCGGUUGUCCAGGAUUCUACAAUGAAUAUAGGACACUUCAUGGACAAUAUCAGGCCUUUCGAAGAGGAUGGCGGCUGUGUAGUGCCUUCUACCCCUGGGAGCAGCCCGGCCCUCCCUGGAGAUGUGGCCUCCAUGAGGCAAGAGCUCAGUCCCUUAGGCUCUUCAAGCUCUAACCAGCCUCCAUAUCCAGUGCCUCCAUAUCCACAGUGGGGGGCUUUGCCAGAACAGGAGAGUCAUUCCCAUUGGCAAAGCUAUGAAGGGCCCUUCCAAAUGACAUUUGGCAGCAUCAACACAAUGGACUUAGGUGGGUGGGAUGGCUUGACGGGAUUUCCGAAUCAGUAAACUGUUAGUCUUGCUUAUCAAUAAUUUUCUAUAAUAAUUAAGAAUGUGCGGUAAUUUAUUGAAUAUUGAUGAAUGAAAUGUGUCACUAACAUUUUGUAAUAAAGUUUUUUCUUGAAAUUUGA